GUGUUAGGUGGUGCUGAAAAAACAACCUUUUGAGCAAUGCCCGCUUUGGGUGUGACCCACUGAGUGUGUAAUUUGAGCAUGUGUUAGCCACAAAGAGUUAGCAGAAAGGAAGGAGGUUAGCAGGCAUGCUAGAAGAACCGGUCACCUGCAGGAAGAAGAUAUUUGCUGUAGCUUUUUAGCUUAAAUUAUAUCUAGAUUUGUAUUGUAUUCAUAUUUUUAUUGUACUUAAAGUAAAAUUAUAGGAGGAAUUCUUAAGGUUACCUCAUUGAUAGAAGUGUGUUAAAGUAGUUGUUAGAGGUUUUUUUACAGCGUCUGAGGGACUGAUCAUCCUGAGGCGUGAGACAAAAAACUGUUUAUGAAGUUGUAGAAGGUGUACGGCCUGUCGGACGACCUGGCCAAUCAACUGUGGAUAGUGCUGCAGCACGCCAUGGGCAAGGCUGGAGGCCGCAGCGAAGCUGGUGCAGUGCUUCCCAACACAUUACAACACCUUGAUAGGUUUUCAAGCUCUACCACAAUACUGUGUCCACUGGCUGCAGAGGACAUGACGGCCAACAACAUUGUGUCCCUUCUCACCUGGUUCCUCAAUUAAUACUUACAAAAGUUUAUCUGCCCAGCUUAGACCACUGAGGUAUAAUAACAACUGGAGACUGCGUCCAAGAUGUCCAACCUUAGUUUUUCAAGGUAAUCUACUAGCGUUCGUAUACGCCGAUACAUGGACUGUCUAUAUCUGGGUUGUAUCCAGGUUAUAAGGAGCAACAUCUCAUGUGCACUAGCAUCAAGUUCCGGUCAUAGCAACUUUGAUCAAGGGAGGAGGAAAUGGCAUCCCUUGAGAGGGCAAGAACGAGAUGUAUGUUAGGAGAAGUGCAAUAUUAUCACAAGGAGAUGUAUACGUGGAAUACCGAGGAAUGGAAGGAAAGAGGUAGAGGAUGAAGAGAGUGAGGGAGGCAGAGGGUGGGAUUGAAUCUGUUAAAGAUGUUGGGAAAAAAGGUAGAUGUUAGGUCGAAGGAAGGCUGGUGGCAAGUGCAAACAGAGUGAGCCGUACGCCGGAUCCAGUUCCGGAGGCAAAAUGGAAGCGAAUGAGGGCGAAUUACCAGAGGUGGCAGGUUUGGUGAGGUUCUUGGAGCCCGAGCCUUGCACCGAUGGUCAGGAUAAAGAUGAGUCUGUGAUGGUAGGAGUAACAUUUUUGGAGAAAGUGGACCCCUGCCUUUAGGCUGAUUCAUAUGUGGUUUCAGGGUGCGUGAAAAUGGAGUUGGGUGCUGAGGAGUCGGUUGAAGGUAACCCGAAGUGGGCUUGUGAUAAUUGUUUGUGUUUCUGUUGGUCAGAGGGAGUCGGCACUCUCCGCCACACGAAUAAGGACAAGAGCGGUGACUUUCUUUUCUGUCAAGAACAGGGCGCCAUUGAAAGGAGUGAUUACUGGGGUAGCAGGACAUGUGAAGGUGAACCAGAUGAAGGGGAAGAUUCCCGGUGUUUGUGA